rnacentral:rRNA from 1 species
GAGCGCCGUAGCAAUACGGAGCGGCAGACGGGAGAGUAACACGUGGGAACGUGCCCUUCAGUUCGGAACAACUCAGGGAAACUUGGGCUAAUACCGAAUACGUCCGUAAGGAGAAAGAUUUAUCGCUGAAGGAUCGGCCCGCGUCUGAUUAGCUAGUUGGUGGGGUAACGGCCCACCAAGGCGACGAUCAGUAGCUGGUCUGAGAGGAUGAUCAGCCACACUGGAACUGAGACACGGUCCAGACUCCUACGGGAGGCAGCAGUGGGGAAUCUUGCGCAAUGGACGAAAGUCUGACGCAGCGACGCCGCGUGGGUGAUGAAGGCCCUCGGGUUGUAAAGCCCU